AAAACGGUUUAUUACAGGAUUACGGUUAAGAUAUGGAAAUCAAUAGCAAUUAUAUAGGAAUUGUAGAAGUUUGUUGGAGUGCCAGACUAUGAUAGUCAUGAACUAGGGUUAAGCUUGGUGCUACCUCUUUGUUUUCUUUGUUUUCUUUGUUGUUGAAGAGUAAUAGAUAGUUUUUGAAUACUGAGAAGUGAGUCUAUAGAAUAAAUGAGAGAUUGAUUUAUGAGUUAUUGAUUAUAUAAUU
rnacentral:lncRNA from 1 species